rnacentral:rRNA from 1 species
UACGGAGGGUGCGAGCGUUGUCCGGAAUCACUGGGCGUAAAGGGCGCGUAGGCGGCGCGGGAAGGCCGUGGUGAAAGCCCGAGGCUCAACUUCGGGUCGGCCAUGGAUACUCCUGGGCUCGAGCACUGUAGAGGCAGGUGGAAUUCCGGGUGUAGCGGUGGAAUGCGUAGAGAUCCGGAAGAACACCGGUGGCGAAGGCGGCCUGCUGGGCAGUAGCUGACGCUGAGGCGCGACAGCGUGGGGAGCAAACAGG